rnacentral:rRNA from 1 species
AGUGAACGCUGGCGGUAGGCCUAACACAUGCAAGUCGAACGGCAGCACAGUAAGAGCUUGCUCUUACGGGUGGCGAGUGGCGGACGGGUGAGGAAUACAUCGGAAUCUACUUUUUCGUGGGGGAUGACGUAGGGAAACUUACGCUAAUACCGCAUACGACCUACGGGUGAAAGCAGGGGAUCUUCGGACCUUGCGCGAUUGAAUGAGCCGAGGUCGGAUUAGCUAGUUGGCGGGGUAAAGGCCCACCAAGGCGAGGAUCCGUAGCUGGUCUGAGAGGAUGAUCAGCCACACUGGAACUGAGACACGGUCCAGCCUCCUACGGGAGGCAGCAGUGGGGAAUAGUGGACAAUGGGCGCAAGCCUGAUCCAGCCAUACCGCGUGGGUGAAGAAGGCCUUCGGGUUGUAAAGCCCUUUUGUUGGGAAAGAAAAUCAGCAGGUUAAUACCCCGCUGUUCUGACGGUACCCAAAGAAUAAGCACCGGCUACCUUCGU